rnacentral:rRNA from 1 species
AUUGAACGCUGGCGGCAGGCUUAACACAUGCAAGUCGAGCGGAGAUGAGGUGCUUGCACCUUAUCUUAGCGGCGGACGGGUGAGUAAUGGUUAGGAAUCUGCCUAUUAGGCGGGGACAACAUUCCGAAAGGAAUGCUAAUAACGCAUACGUCCUACGGGAGAAAGCAGGGGAUCUUCGGACCUUGCGCUAAUAGCUGAGCCUAAGUCGGAUUAGCUAGUUGGUGGGGUAAAGGCCUACCAAGGCGACGAUCUGUAGCGGGUCUGAGAGGGUGAUCCGCCACACUGGGACUGAGACACGGCCCAGACUCCUACGGGAGGCAGCAGUGGGGAAUAUUGGACAAUGGGGGGAACCCUGAUCCAGCCAUGCCGCGUGUGUGAAGAAGGCCUUAUGGUUGUAAAGCACUUUAAGCGAGGAGGAGGCUACUGAGACUAAUACUCUUGGAUAGUGGACGUUACUCGCAGAAUAAGCACCGGCUAACUCUGUGCCAGCCGCCGCAGUAA